rnacentral:tRNA from 1 species
GGCGGCGGUAGGCGGCGGAGGCGCGCACGUCGUCGAUCGGCGCGAACCCGGCUUCGAGCGCCUGCGCCGCCGCC